GAUGAACGCUGGCGGCGUGCCUAAUACAUGCAAGUCGAGCGAACAGACGAGGAGCUUGCUCCUUUGACGUUAGCGGCGGACGGGUGAGUAACACGUAGGUAACCUACCUAUAAGACUGGGAUAACUUCGGGAAACCGGAGCUAAUACCGGAUAAUAUUUCGAACCGCAUGGUUCGAUAGUGAAAGAUGGCUUUGCUAUCACUUAUAGAUGGACCUGCGCCGUAUUAGCUAGUUGGUAAGGUAACGGCUUACCAAGGCAACGAUACGUAGCCGAUCUGAGAGGGUGAUCGGCCACACUGGAACUGAGACACGGUCCAGACUCCUACGGGAGGCAGCAGUAGGGAAUCUUCCGCAAUGGGCGAAAGCCUGACGGAGCAACGCCGCGUGAGUGAUGAAGGUCUUCGGAUCGUAAAACUCUGUUAUUAGGGAAGAACAAACGUGUAAGUAACUGUGCACGUCUUGACGGUACCUAAUCAGAAAGCCACGGCUAACUACGUG
rnacentral:rRNA from 1 species